GGCUCGCUGCAACCUUCAUCUCCUGGGUUCAAGCAAUUCUCCUGCCUCAGCUUGCCAAGUAGCUAGGGUUACAGGCAUGGGCCACCAUGCCAGCAAAUUUUUGUAUUUGUAGUACAGAUGGGGUUUCACCAUGUUGGCCAGGCUGGUCUUGAACUCCUGACCUCAAGUGAUCUGCCCGCCUACGCCUCCCAAAGUGCUGGGAUUACAGGAGUGAGCCACCGCGCCCAACCUGAUUUCCUUUCUUUUGAGUAUAUACCCAGCAGUGCAGGAACCUCCAAACUGUUCUCCAUGGUGGUUGUACUAAUUUACAUUCCCAACAACAGUGUACGAGCGUUCCCUUCUCUCCACAUCCUCGCCAGCAUUUGUGAUUGCCUGUGUUUUAGAAAUAAGCCAUUUGAACUGGGGUGAGAUGAUAUGGUAGUUUUGAUUUGCAUUUCUCUGAUGAUCAGUGAUGUUGAGCACCUUACAUAUGCCUGUUUGCCAUCUGUAUGUCUUCUUUUGAGAAAUGUCUAUUCAAAUCUUUUGCCCAUUUUUUGAUCAGAUUAUUAGUUUUUUCCUGCUUAGAGCUGAGCUCCUUAAAUAUUCUGGUUGUUAAUCCCUUGCCAGAUGGGUAGUUUGCAAAUAUUUUCUCCCAUUCUGUGGGUUGUCUCUUUACUUUGUUGAUUGUAUCCUUUGGUGUGCAGAAGCUUUUUAACUUGAUGUGAUCCCAUUUGUCCAUUUUUUGCUUUGGUUGCCUGUGCUUAUGGGGUAUUGUUCAAGGAAUUUUUGCCCAGACCAAUAUCCUGGAGAUUUCCCCCAGUGUUUUCUUGUAGUAGUUUCAUAGUUUCAUAGUUUGAGGUCUUAGAUUUAAGUCUUUAAUCCAUUUUGAUUUGAUUUUUGUGCAGUGCUGUACAUGUUCAGAGAAACUUCCCUAGCAACAAACUAUAGAAAUGAUCCCUAAAGUAUAGUGUUUAACAGUUCUGAGUCUGCUUUCUAAAGCAGCAACACUCUCUCAUCUUUCUC
rnacentral:lncRNA from 1 species